AGUGAACGCUGGCGGUAGGCCUAACACAUGCAAGUCGAACGGCAGCACAGUAAGAGCUUGCUCUUACGGGUGGCGAGUGGCGGACGGGUGAGGAAUACAUCGGAAUCUACUUUUUCGUGGGGGAUAACGUAGGGAAACUUACGCUAAUACCGCAUACGACCUACGGGUGAAAGCAGGGGAUCUUCGGACCUUGCGCGAUUGAAUGAGCCGAUGUCGGAUUAGCUAGUUGGCGGGGUAAAGACCCACCAAGGCGACGAUCCGUAGCUGGUCUGAGAGGAUGAUCAGCCACACGGGAACUGAGACACGGUCCAGACUCCUACGGGAGGCAGCAGUCGGGAAUAUUGGACAAUGGGCGCAAGCCUGAUCCAGCCAUACCGCGUGGGUGAAGAAGGCCUUCGGGUUGUAAAGCCCUUUUGUUGGGAAAGAAAAGCAGCAGGUUAAUACCCCGCUGUUCUGACGGUACCCAAAGAAUAAGCACCGGCUAACUUCGUG
rnacentral:rRNA from 1 species